rnacentral:misc_RNA from 1 species
GCUGCUAGCAGAUGCAUUUCCCUGCAAAUAAAUGCAAAAAUAAUGUUAGAUCAUUUCUUCCCUCCAACAGCCUAGGAGAGAGCAAGAACAAGACAACUAAAAUCUAUUUAGAAAAGGGUGAUAAGUGAGGGAUUGCCAAAUGCAUAUGCUUAUAUAACAGAGACCAAAAUGCAACAAUCAGGGCUAAGCAUGCCAAAUGCUUGAACAGGAAAAUGGUAUACAGAUGAACUAUAUAGUAAAGGCCAAAUGUAUCAUUUCACCCUUGAACUUAAAGGAUAUAUCUCAUUACACCUCUCAACUUUUCGAGGAACCUCUUACACCCCUAAACUUAAAAUAAUAAUAAUAAAAUA